rnacentral:rRNA from 1 species
UACGAAGGGGGCUAGCGUUGUUCGGAAUUACUGGGUCGUAAAGGGCGCGUAGGCGGUGUGUCAAGUCAGGCGUGAAAGCCCUGGGCUUAACCUGGGAAUUGCAGUCGAUACUGCUCGGCUAGAGUAUGGGAGAGGGUAGUGGAAUUCCCGGUGUAGCGGUGAAAUGCGUAGAUAUCGGGAGGAACAUCAGUGGCGAAGGCGGCUACCUGGCCCAAUACUGACACUCAGGUGCGACAGCGUGGGGAGCAAACAGG